UACAGAGGUCCCAAGCGUUGUUCGGAUUCACUGGGCGUAAAGGGUGCGUAGGCGGUCGGGUAAGUCUGGCGUGAAAUCUCCAAGCCUAACUUGGAAACUGCGUUGGAUACUAUCCGGCUCGAGGAAUGGAGGGGAGACUGGAAUACUUGGUGUAGCAGUGAAAUGCGUAGAUAUCGGGAGGAACAUCAGUGGCGAAGGCGGCUGCCUGGCCCAAUACUGACACUCAGGUGCGACAGCGUGGGGAGCAAACAGG
rnacentral:rRNA from 1 species